rnacentral:misc_RNA from 1 species
GGAGGGAUCAUUAGUAAACACUAAAUACCUUUUCAUCCCAAACGUGAACUUGUUUCAAAGGGACUAUUAUUGUCCUCAUUUUGUGCUUGACCUUUCUUCAGUGAAGGGAAAGUGCAUACGCUUUACUCCUUUUUUUAUUAUUAUAAAAACAACUCAAUAUUUAUAUUGAAAUAUACAUGUUACAUCACAUUACAUUUUUAUGUGUCUUGAUCUAACGAUCAAAAAACACUAUAAUUGAUUCUUUACAACUCUUAGCAACGGAUAUCUCGGUUCUCGUAUCGAUGAAGAACGCAGCAAACUGCGAUAAGUAAUGCGAAUCGCAGAGCUCAGUGAAUCAUCGAAUUUUUGAACGCAUACUGCAUUCUGAGGCUUAUGCCUAUCAGAAUAUACUUCUUUGAGUAUCAGAUCCACCUCACAAUGUUGGCAAUAUUUUUAUGUUGCCAAUGAUUUGGAAUAUGAGUGGUUUUUCACUUUAUAUAUCAUAAGGUGCCACUUCAAAUUGCCUGAUUCAUGCUAAGCAAUGAUUGCUGUGACAAGUUUUGCUUGAUGUAUGGUAAAAAAGUUUCACUUUUUUUCGCACAUCUUUCGCGGCUUUGUUGCGUGAUUGUUGAUUAUGCUCUGGUUAUAAAUAAGAAGGAAAAUUAAAACUUAUUACCAAAAUUGAUCUCAAAUGAAGUGAGACAACCCGCUGAAUUUAAGCAUAUUAUUAAGCGGAGGAAAAGAAACUAACAAGGAUUCCCAUAGUAACUUGCGAGUGAAGUGGGAAAAGCUCAGCCUGAAAAUAGGAUGACCUAGCGGUCGUUCCGAAUUGUAGGUUUUCGGCAUGCGAUCAGUCCGUGGACUGGGUAGAAAUCCUUUGGAAAAGGGUAUCACAGAGGGUGACAAUCCCGUCCGUGACUCAGAGCACGCGGCGUUAACGACGUAUGUCUAUAGAGUAGGGUAGCUUGGGAAUGCUGCUCGAAGUGGGUGGUAAAUUCCAUCCAAAGCUAAAUAUCGACGAGAGACCGAUAGCGAACAAGUAGCGUGAGCGAAAGAUGAAAAGAACUUUGAAAAGAGAGUUAAAAAGUCCUUGAAAUUGCUAAGAGGUAAGCACUGGCAACCAGUAUGUAUGUCGAUGGUUAUAUGCCUAUGACGCUGACAAGGUCUAUCCUGAUAUCGGCGACUCCUGAUAGGGGGCGCUGUGUGUUGGGCAAUGUCUGACCCCCAGUGACGUAGACACAGUAAUCGUUGUACUAGUCAAGAUCAAUUAGCCAUCGCGAGAGAAAGCUUUCCAGGGAGGUAGGUCUACAUUAUGCCUCGUGUGUAGUGUACGACAACAUAUAACCUGGAUGUCUAGUAAAUAUCGUGGGGUUGAUUGAGGUCAUUCGACGAAGUGAAAAACUGCACCUAUGAUCCCUCAUAGGUAUGGGUCGCCUGGCUCCUGCUACAUUAUUUGGAUGCUAGAACAAAGUUCUAGUACUGGAGAAGUGGAGUACUGGGUUGGGGUCGAUCACAAGCAGUUCUUAAGUUCGACGAUCUUGACGAAAUGGUUCUCAGUGACCCGUCUUGAAACACGGACCAAGGAGUCUAACAUAUAUGCGAGUAUUUGGAUGCGUAAAAUCCAUAAAAUGCGUAAUGAAAGUGAAGGUGGAAAUCAUUUAUGAUUUUUGCUGAGGUAGGAUUCAGGGUCAUUCCCAUGACUCUGAUGCACUAUCGCCCGAAUCUAUCAUUUAUGAAAGGUUUGAGGAAGAGCAUAUCUGUUAGGACCCGAAAGAUGGUGAACUAUACCUGAUCAGGGUGAAGCCAGGGGAAACUCUGGUGGAGGCUCGUAGCGAUACUGACGUGCAAAUCGUUCGUCUGAAUUGGGUAUAGGGGCGAAAGACUAAUCGAACCAUCUAGUAGCUGGUUCCCUC